rnacentral:rRNA from 1 species
GAUGAACGCUGGCGGCGUGCCUAAUACAUGCAAGUCGAGCGAACAGACGAGGAGCUUGCUCCUCUGACGUUAGCGGCGGACGGGUGAGUAACACGUGGAUAACCUACCUAUAAGACUGGGAUAACUUCGGGAAACCGGAGCUAAUACCGGAUAAUAUAUUGAACCGCAUGGUUCAAUAGUGAAAGACGGUUUUGCUGUCACUUAUAGAUGGAUCCGCGCCGCAUUAGCUAGUUGGUAAGGUAACGGCUUACCAAGGCAACGAUGCGUAGCCGACCUGAGAGGGUGAUCGGCCACACUGGAACUGAGACACGGUCCAGACUCCGACGGGAGGCAGCAGUAGGGAAUCUUCCGCAAUGGGCGAAAGCCUGACGGAGCAACGCCGCGUGAGUGAUGAAGGUCUUCGGAUCGUAAAACUCUGUUAUUAGGGAAGAACAAAUGUGUAAGUAACUAUGCACGUCUUGACGGUACCUAAUCAGAAACCCACGGCUAACUACGU